rnacentral:rRNA from 2 species
UCGGGAAUAUUGCGCAAUGGAGGAAACUCUGACGCAGUGACGCCGCGUAUAGGAAGAAGGUUUUCGGAUUGUAAACUAUUGUCUGCAGGGAAGAAACAAGACUGUACCUGCAAAGAAAGCUCCGGCUAACUACGUGCCAGCAGCCGCGGUAAUACGUAGGGAGCAAGCGUUAUCCGGAUUUAUUGGGUGUAAAGGGUGCGUAGACGGGAAAUUAAGUUAGUUGUGAAAUCCCUCGGCUCAACGGAGGAACUGCAACUAAAACUGGUUUUCUUGAGUGCAGGAGAGGAAAGUGGAAUUCCUAGUGUAGCGGUGAAAUGCGUAGAUAUUAGGAGGAACACCAGUGGCGAAGGCGACUUUCUGGACUGUAACUGACGUUGAGGCACGAAAGUGUGGGGAGCAAACAGG